AAGUCGUAACAAGGUUUCCGUAGGUGAACCUGCGGAAGGAUCAUUAACACGUAUCCAACGUUAAACCCCCCUGUGAACCUUCAUUGUGCUCCCACGCUUUGUUAGAAAGUGGCAAUCCCUGGUAAAUCAUCGCCGAACAGUUUUGAUUCAGGGACUUCUGCGAAGAGGGUGAAUGAGGCGAGGCUCUGAAAGUGUCACUAACUCUGUACGAAUGGCGCAGUCACGUUCGCUGGAGGCCGACACGGCCGGCGACCGGGUCCCUGAGCUCUGCCUGCGCUUAAUUGUGCGGCCACCAAACUCGAACAACUGUUAACCAUGGAUAUCUUGGUUCUC
rnacentral:misc_RNA from 1 species